UCAGUGGUUAGCUCAGUGGUUAGAGCUUGGGUGUUUUAACCGGAAGGUUUCGGGAUCGAAUCCCGCUAGAGAA
rnacentral:tRNA from 1 species